rnacentral:lncRNA from 1 species
GAAAUUUAAACCCAUAAUCUGCACCUCCUUCACCCAAACAUCCUAGCAAGAGGGGCCGGAUUGGGCGACUUUUCUUUCUCAUUUAGCAAAAACUUCAGCCACCUUGGUUUCACUCUGUGCCAGGAAAAAAGACAGAUCUCGUCCUUGCCCCUGGAGAGUUUCCAGCCUCAAAGAGAAGGCCGACUCAGGGUUCAAUUACAAGGUGGGUGAGUGUUGUUGCUGGACUGUGUGGGGGGAGGGGGAGGAGGGGGCUCACCUAGCCUAGGCGUGGAGCGUGGAGCGAGACCUCCCUGGGGAGGUGACAUUUUGACGUUUAAGGCAAAACCUAAGGACAGGUAGGAGAACGCGGGGGCAGGCCAGGCCGUGCUCUGGGCGGCCAAGGGGAGGAGAGCCGGGAGAAGGGUGCCCAGGUUGAGCCAGAAGUCCCUGCCAGUGUGGCCAGCGGUGGCUACAGCAGUCAGGAUUUGGGGUUGUGCAGCGGCAGUGGGGCCCCACCGAGGGGUUUCCCUACUUGGCCUUUCCCACUGUCCGUUCCCGACGCCCCCGCUGCCACCUGCUCUGUCCUGGGCACACCUUCCGGUGCAUUUCGGCAGCGGUCGGCCACCCCGUGGGCCGCGGCGCGGAGCCCGGCUGCGGGGGCCCCGGGCUCCGGCAGCAGGUUGACCUGCGAAGCAAGGGACACCAACAAGGAGCAUGACAGCUUUUCUGGGCCCCCUCCUGGAGUCUUGAUGCUGGUGCCUCUACGAGAAAACCCAGUGAAAACAAGAAAGCAGAGCCAUGCUGGCCUGGGAAUGACCAUCUCACUCUUCAGGAGCCUUAAAACGAGAUCCGACUGAAUUCUGGACUCUCUCUGUUUUGGCAUCACAGCUCCUGGGGUCUUUGUAUCGAUGAUUCUCCCUUGGCUCAGAAAUAGC